GCAAGUGUAGGUGCGGUGCGUGGGGGGGGGCAGCGUGAGGAGAGCGGCGGGCGGGAGGAGCCGAGCGCUCUUGAGCACUGAAGAUCCCCUAGCAAUGCCAGCAGAAGAUGUGCUGGAGUACAGAGGUGUGGCUGUGCAGCAUGGGGAGAGGGCGUUCCUGUGUGUGACCGAUCUUUCCUGCAGAGCAACUGCUUGGUGCUGAUAGUGAGAACUGGAAGGCAACGUGUGCUGGAAGUCUUGCUGAUAUCUAAAAGCCUCAGGAUUUGUGCCAUGCAACUGACAGUCAACCUUCAAGGCUGCAGUUCCAGUUUCCAGGUUGUGGCAGAAGUCUAGCUGUAGCAGUAGCUUACUCAUAAUGUCUGUCAUCUUCCUCGUUUGUUGAUUGCGAAAUGCAUAUUAAACAUUUUCUUAUUUUCAGAAGAGGUCUAAGAUGUUUAUGUGAACUGAAAAAUAUCAGUAGAUGCAAAACAACCAUUAAUACUCAUUCACUCAAGAGCUUUGUAUGACCUCUCAGCUUUCUGCUUUCCUUGCUAAAGAUUUUGGGUACUUUGUUUUAUUAAGACCCCUAUAAGGAAGAGAAGUAUGAGAAUAAAGAGCUAGAACAAAAACUAAAUGCAAAACUCAAUGAGCAUUUAGCAUAAUCUCAGCAUUGCCACACCUUACCUUUAGGCCCUUACCUCAAGCUUGAAUCUAAGCCGAGUUAUGUUCUGUAUAAAAUGUACUGAAGACAGACACUUAAAAACUAGAUUUGUGACAGCGUUGCCACUUGCAUGGGAACUGAAUAAUGGCCUGAACCACUGAUUGAGCACCUGGGGAAAGGACCCCAUCAGCCCUGGGAGUACAGGUGAAGGCAAUUCAUCUGUGUGACUAGGAGGGGUGGUGCCUGUCUGCACCUCUCUUAGACCUCAUUUAAGGUCUAACUGUCACUGAGGAAGGAUCUGUUUCUGGAGAUUGCUCCUUGGUGAAGCUUUCCCCUGUGAAUCUAGAAUCUUCUCAUACAGGUGAGCAAUCUUCUUCCUUUCCUUCAUAGCACCUUUCUAUUGUGCUUGUCUUUCUGUAAUCACAUCUCU